AGAUGAUGCAUGGAGAUGCCACAAGCAGCAAGGGAGAAGUCACCAGCGCUAUGAUACCCAAUCCCACCAGGAUCCCCACAACCUGCAAAGUUUAAAGAAAAAAAAUUUAACCAACAAGAAAAUAAAGCUGGUUGCCUACUUCCCAAGAUGAGAGAAGGCCCACUAGUUUCCCACCUAUUUCCAUGCAGAGGAAAGGAGGAGAAGAGGAGAUGCUGAUUGGCUGCUCCCAGCUAUUGUGGAAGGGUCCCAUGGUUCAAGCACACCAUGUCUGGACAAGUGAUGGGAGAACCACAGCCUUCUCGAAUUGCCAGCUGCAUAUACUGCUUUAGGCACUAGAAAGGAGAAAAGAAAAAAAAUGAUGGAAAGUUACAACCCACAUGAUAGUAACACGUAGAUGUUAACACCGCACUACGCAGGUGCCACCUCCGCUUCCUUAAUUGGCUCUCCUAGAGCACUAGUAUAGAGAAAACAUAAAUUAUCACAUGUGUGAAUGCUAAGAACCAUUACUUUGGGAAGAAUGCA